rnacentral:rRNA from 1 species
UACGAAGGGGGGCUAGCGUUGCUCGGAAUCACUGGGCGUAAAGGGUGCGUAGGCGGGUUCUUAAGUCAGAGGUGAAAUCCUGGAGCUCAACUCCAGAACUGCCUUUGAUACUGAGAGUCUUGAGUUCGGGAGAGGUGAGUGGAACUGCGAGUGUAGAGGUGAAAUUCGUAGAUAUUCGCAAGAACACCAGUGGCGAAGGCGGCUCACUGGCCCGAUACUGACGCUGAGGCACGAAAAGCGUGGGGGAGCAAACAGGG